rnacentral:lncRNA from 1 species
CACACUUCCUCCAACAGACACACGUAGUCCUUCAAAGCCACACCUCCACAGAGACCCUUCCUUCUCUGGAGGUAGUUUAAGAUGCAAGGGCUCAUUAAUCAGUUGCUAAGCCGCCACAAAUUACAAGGAAGAAGGAAAACAUCUCCGCAGAGAGGGAAAAGGUACCGGGAAAGCUAACAGCCAAACAGUGAACCACUGUGUGAUUCAUCCAGCCCAUAUGGAGACUUUGCCAAGGACCUCUUUUCCUCAGAUGAGCAGACCCUUCGAGAGACAAGCAUAUUCUGGUAUCUCUGAUUCAGAAUCUAUGUUUCUGGAUGCAGCUAGAGGCACAGUGCUAAACUUCUUGGCACCUUGGUAUUCUAAGAUGAUGUCACUCUUCUGUGGAUGGAUGGAUUAACUAUCAUGAUACCUACUCAGAGUUUAAGAGCAUCCCGUAAAAGUGAAUCCUGCCAUGAGCAACACGCCAUCCAUCAGCCCCUCCCAACCCACCCUAAUGGAGUCUUCCUUUUCACCUCCUCCUGGAUCUCCAGGGCAGCUUUUCACUCGCCCUUCAUCAGUGAACUUCAUGGAACGGCUCUCAGAAUAUUCUACCAACCCCGUAUUUUCUGGAACAUUGUAGGAGAGACAUCAAUGCAAAUGCUUUUCCCCAACCCUAAGGUUUUCAAUAUGAAAGAUGGAACAUAGCCACCAGUGAUGACUACUUUCCUACUGCUACAUAUAAUAGUUUUGUUAUUUAUACUAAAACCACAAUGAACUUUCAGAGUGUUUUAACUAACUCAAGACUCAAGGGAAAAAGGGAAAAAAAACAAAACACUUUUCA